GUUUUAGUAGAGGUAUGUCCCAUGCAAUAUUUGGGACAUAUCUCUACUUAAA
rnacentral:pre_miRNA from 1 species